CGUCGUCGUCGUCGUCGUCGUCGUCGUCGUCGUCGUCAUCGUCGUCAUCGUCACCGUCACCGUCACCCGUCUCCUUUCCCUAUCUGCCUCCGCCGAGCGUUCCGCGCGGAUUUCUCACGUCGUCGGGGCUUCGGCGCCCGGCGACGAAGGACGACGGGCACGGCAAGUGCAUCUCUCUCUCCUCUUUGCGGCGUACGGGACGCCCGACAUCGCGGUGUAAUCAGACACCGGCACCGGGGCGAGGAUGCCGGGGCGGGUAGGAGGGUGAGAGGGGAGCGGGCGGCAGGGUAGAAGAGGAGAGACGUAAACGUAAUUGGAAACAUCCGAGAGGGAGAUCUGCCACGCUUCUGAUGCGCGCCGCGGCGACUCGCCUGUUUCCAUUCUCCUCCCAUCGGACAUACUUCGCCGCAACGCGAGCGUCGUGUGUCUUCGUUUUUUCCUCGCGAGUCUAUUGACUCCCCGGCACACGGGGAUGACGCGAUGGUCCGGCGUGGAAUCCACCAUCGGAGAACGAAUGGUGGCUACGGGAUUGACGGGGGUGCCGUCUCGACUGUUUGAGGGUCCCUCGCGCGCGCCGAUGGACCGCGAUCGCGAAAACCUCAUUUCAUGUCCUCACAGACCGAAACGAUCGUUUUCGUAAUUAGCGCCACUCGCCCCUCCACUCCCCCACCUCGCAGGUAAAAAAAUACGUUUUCGCGCAAUCUCUCUUCCCAGGUAUUAAUAAUGCAUUCUUCGUUUCUCUCUCUCCCACUCUCUUUUUCCGUGUACGACGUUCAAAGACGUUAUAUUUACGCGACAGCGGCCUCAGGAACGCGCGGAGAAAGGUACUUUCUUUGUGACGACGUUUUGCCAAUACGUACGUGCGGCUUUGUAAGUAGCGAGAUGAGCGCGCGCGCGCGCGCCCACGUUCGCGUGCUCCACGCAUGAUUAAGCAGAGCCGACGAUAAUGCACUGCGUGCGGCUCUCUUCGGCGUAUAAAGAAGGUGUAAAUACCUCCCGAUGAUUCCUCCUAGGAUCGGAGCGGAUCGCGCAAAGGGAGCCGACACGGAGGCGGCUCCUUUCUCGUCGAUAAUUUCAAUGGAGAGUUUUUCUCAUAGAGCCAGUCGUUCCCCUUCUCUCCCCCAUCUCACUCUCUCUCACUCUCUCUCACACACACUCUCUCUCUCUCUCUCUCUCUCUCUCUCUCUCUCUCUCUCUUUCUCUCUUUCGUCCCCCUUCGCGCCGGUGUGUACGCGUGUAUACGGAGGACGGUAAAAAAGAGGAGAUCUCAAAAGGUACGCGGAGCACCGCCUCUGAUGAAUGCCGCAACCAGUUGGCCACCAUGUUUUCCCUCCGCCGGUUGUGUGUACGCCCUACUCUCCGAAACAUCCCCUGCACGUCCCUCCGGUGUGUCGACUUUCCAACCCCUCGCAAAACCGCGAUUGAACCCUUGUACAUCCAGUGCGUGUACUACGUAGGCAGGGAGGCGAUUUUACGUGCGCUUUGUGAGCGACGGGACGCGCGUAACUUUUACAGUUGUCGGGCGGAAGCCGCUGCAGAAACGCACACGGACUAAAUUGGAUCGUCCCGCUGAUGAUUUCAGAGGGAGCGCGGAAAAUUACCGUGCGCGUCGUCAGAGAGAAUAUCCGCACGGCAUAGAGGAUGAUCGGCCAUUUUACGGCAAAAGAAACCGGAAACUCAAAAUUCGCAUCGCCUGAGAGGACCAGGGGAGGUGGAGGGGGAGGGGCGAGAAUCGACGAUCCGCACGUAGAACGUCGACAUUCCUCGAGCAAUCGCCGAUAUCCACCAGAGAGCAUCGACAUUACGCGCCGUCUCCAACUUAAACACAAACGCGCCAAGUUUGCCCGCUGAGGAAGCCGCUCCUCGGUUUUAUUGCUUCGUAAUACGGCGCGGCGGAUCGGCACGUACACGCGGCGCCGAAGGGACCAUGGCGGGUGUCGAAGAUGGCACAGACGAAGGGAAGGAAGAAGAAGAAGAAGAAGAGGAAGAUCAUGAUGAAGAUGAAAAAAGAGAAAUAGCAGAGGCGGAGGAGCGAGGAAAGAGAAAGAGAAAAAAAGCCGGCCGAUAAACAAACUGCGCCGAGGAUCGCGGCUCUUUAAUCUUCCUUUGGAGGCAUCGGCCGCUCUUUGCGGCAUUCAAUGAAAAGGGAGCAGGGAAGAGUGGGAGAGUUGAAUCCUCCGUCUCUCUCUCUCUCUCUCUCUCUCUCUCUCUCUCUCUCUCUCUCCUCCCCUCUCUCUCCCCCCUCGGUGUGCUCGACCCCGCGACUCAUUAUGGCAACAUGCGGUAAGUAUGCUCGCGCUUAAGUCUCGGCGUACCCUCCGCUCGCCGAGGGCCGUCCCGAGCUGAAGCCGGCGUCUUCGUAUUAGUUACACGUGUACACGUACGCGCACGUACGUAAAAAGGACGCAAAAAAAAAAGAAACGGCGGUCGAGGGCCCGAAACACGGGCGGAGGCACCGCAUUACGACACUGUCGGAACCGGCGACGGGGUCGUGGAGGGACAGGCAGGGUGGAGGAGAGCAUCCCUUAUUUCGCGGCGGCUCGUUGCACGGCUCGGCGCAUCCGAAUAGUCUCUCACUCCCUUGAUCCGGGGUGUUCCAGGUGGUUCCUCGCCCCCUUUCCGCCCGCCUGGACCUACUCUCGAAAAUUAGGCACCGUGGAUCACCGAGCCGAUACGCGUUUUACAGCUGCGGCGCUCCGGAAAACGGCCGAAGAGCCGAGUGCACGGAAUCCCGCGCGUGUCUUCGUCUUUGUCCCCUCCUCCCCUCUCUCUCUCUCUCUCUCUCUCUCUCUCUCUCUUUCUUUCUCUCUCGGCUUUUAGCUGCGAUUCUAGUACGUAAAAUUCUCCCAGUGGAUUCGCAACGUGAUGACGCGACGGCGAUCACAUCGAUUCGAGUCGACUUCUCAUGAAGCGCAACUCGAAGGAGUUAGCAACAUCUACGUUAUGCAGUUGACUGCAGUUUAUAUAGAUACUCAUGGAACGGACAAAUAUUGAAAAAGGCAGACUCGUCAUUUUACGGAACAUUGAGCAGUUCACGAAACGAACUGCAUGCACUCCACACAAGUCGGGCUACCUACUCGCGCGUACUGCUGCUAGGCUACUCGCAAAACAGAAAUGUAAACACGACGGAGUCGUGUGUUUCCCCAAACUUGUUCGGCCAUUUUCGCAGUGGAAAUAUAUUGACAUUAUAGCGAGUAUAAUAUUCAACUUCUCUUAAGAAACCUUUCUAGAAUUGGAAGUCGCCCGUAACAACUCGAGACACAAGCAGUCUCCAUAAAUCCGUAUCGAGUCAUUCCCGCGAAACGCGAGUACCACUAUUCGAUUCAUAGUCGGCGAUGAACGCCAACAAAUGUGGUCUCUGAUGAUCAGCAAGCCACCUCGAUGGAUCAAUCGAGGAUGCACAAAUCAGACUGAAGAACAGUAUCAAAUGCACGAAUUAAAUCUAUCGAAUUCUUGCCAUUAUGCACCGAGAGAAAAGAUAUCCAAGAAAUAAUAAGUAUUUAUUCGCGCGCGCGCGCGCGGUGGAUACUAAUAAUAAACUGAUUUAUGAUAACGUAAAAUAUUUUUCAAAUAAGAUACUCUUCAAAGUAAUUUCAAAUAAGUAAAAAUAUUUUAAAAUUUUGUUGAUAUUUUCAAGUACAUAUUGUAAUAAAAAUAUUGUAGUAAGGAUAUUAUAGUGUGUGUGUGUGUGUAAAAGUUAUAAUGCAGCUUUAGUAGUCCACGAAUAGACUGACAUUAUUUUACGAAAAUUAUAAUAAAACAUAUUAAAAAUGACCAUAAAUGUAGUAAAAUUUAUCACGUUUAUGGUCAUUUUUACUAUGUUUUAUUAUAACUUUCGUAAUAAGUUUAUUCCCGAACUACUAAAAUUGCAUUGUAAUUUUUACUACAAUAUUCUCUCCGUGUAAGUAAACUUUUUCUCAAAACCUCACGGAAACCUUAGCUUUUCACGAAAGCAAUUGUUUAUUCUGCUUGAAUAAAAGAAUUUAGAUUUCUCUCUCAGUAAAUAUGUCAUUAGUGCCCAUCAAAUGAAUAUUUACUAUUUUUUUAGAUAUUUUUUCUCAGUGUACACCACAUCGAGUGAGCAAGUCGUGCAGGUAGGCGCCGAAAUCCUUCAAGAGCGCGCGGCCAGGUAAGGAAAGGAAGAUCGGCGGCAUCGUCGUGCCAAGGCCCAGCAAGAGAUAAUCCUCCCGGUCGUGAUGGCGGCCGCUGCCGAGGACUCACCCCACCCUUCGUGUGAAGUGCCAACCCCCGAAGAGGCAACGAUACUGUCGCGGUCUGAAAGGCCCGCUGCGAAUAACGCGCUUACGCGCGAUCAUCCGACCGCGAUCGUCGAUGCCCGUGACAGAUCGUCACGCUGCGAAUGCAUCGUCCUCUUCUUCGUCGCUGAAUAUCGCGGCAUUAAGCCCGCGCUAAAAAGCGAAGAGAGAAAAAGAGAGGGGGAGAGAGGGGCGCUAAGUCUUUCGCGGAUGGCCGGCCGCGCGCACCGACAAUACGGUGUAGAUUACUUUUCAGGACGGGCGGCGUGACGUAAACGCGCCCCGGCAAUUUUUCCCCGGCGAACAAUGCGCGAUGUUUGCCGACACAAUUUGCUCGGAUUUAGAUGUAGCCGCAUAAACGCAUGUCUGCACUUAGACGUCGUCGGCUGGACGACGCGAGGCGGCACCGAACUCCGCAGGGUGCCUACGUCUGUCUGCCUGUAUAUGCUCAAUCGCGCGCGCGCGCAAAACGAUUUUCGCACCAUUUAUUCGAUAAAAUUGCAGCGCUUCAAGUUGUCACAAUUAAAAGCGGCUGCUGGUACGUAUGCGUGCCCACAGAAAAAUAUGUACUGCAUUCAAAUAAAUGUUAUUUGUGUCAAAUUUUGUAAGUUUGUAUAAUAGUAAAUCUAACUCAUCGGUUCGUCAUACGCAUUAAAUUUGUGUAACAUUCCGAAUCCUAGUAAAUUCAGUAUUGCAAUAAAAAAUAUUAAAUUGAAACAAAAAUUCGGUUUAUUUACUAUUUACAUAAGACCGGCUUUCUUUUCGGUAAAGUUUUAUGAUAGUCUUAGGAAGAAAAUAAACUCUUUUUUUGAUUAUAUGAUAAUGAAUUUUUCUAAAAUUUGCGAUGAGUAUACUUAAGACUAUUAUCAAGAAAAUAUUUUUUGUUGAGAGGGCAAUUUAAUUAAAAAGAAGAUUUAAAAGAAGAAAAUUAACUGAAUAAUCGCUUUUCUCUUGUCACUAGAGUGUUAUUUUUCUGUGUGCGCACAGUAAUCGAUUAUAACAGAAGUCGAGUACUGGAUGUGACAAUAAAUUUAGGGGGAGAAAUUUAUAUUUUAAAGUAAGAGAACAUUAUUGAAGUAACACUAAAACUAAAAUAACUUUUAUAUACAUUAAAGUAAAAUAACUUUUAUAUACAUUCCAUAAAGUAUGUAUAAAGGACAGAGUAUCUGUUGAAUACUCGUUAGCAGUGGUCCUCAAUCGUAACAACUUGAAGCGCCACGACUUUAUUCGACAAAAAAUAUGUAAGUCGUUUUGCGACUGAGCAUACACUUAUCAAUCACACUUCGACAAGUGAUAAACUUCUUUUCACGCAAAGUGUCGUUCAGAUAGAUAACUGAAGAGGAUAUCGCUUGUUACCGAUUAAAACUGCUCAGUCAUGAUGUUGUUGUUCGUAUUUUAUUUAUGCUUGCCGAUGUCACGUCGCGAUUCUUUGCUUGUAUCUGAUCGUUGUGGCGUAUUAUUUUUCUAAUAACGGUUCCCUGCUAUUUUUAAUUUCGUGGUUUCUCAGUAUGCAGUUGUCGCCCGCGUGUUUUAGCUUUCUUCUACGGAGAUGCAGCCAGCGGCUGAGCCGGUUUGAUAGCUAAGGGGAAGAAGACUCGUCAUACUGUGAGUAAUAUUACCUCACGCGACAUGAUAUUAACGCGGACAUCUCGAGAACUUGGAAAAGGGUCGAGCGCCGCGAUCGAGAUUGAUUUGAUCUGCCGCCGACAGGGUGGCAAGCGAAACGAUGUGCCCUGGAUAUUGGGGCCUGAUGAAGGCUUCUCGGAUGUCAUGUCGGACUCGGACAUGGUGCAAGAGGGAGAAAGAUAAAAAGAGGGGAGCAAGAGAGGAGGAAGGAAAGGAGAUAGAGAAAGAGGCUGAUUGAAAUAGAAUGGGAGACUGAGCGAGAGGGCCGCAUUCCUAGACAGCUUACCAAGACAGCUAUCGCAUCGGCCAUCGCAUUUCGGUUUCUCAUAUCCAGAGGUGGCGGAUUUGUUUCUUCCUCUUAUCCGACUUUGGGGAGUGCGGGUCGCGGCCCGCCGAUACAAAGACACCCCGGGGACGCAACAACGGUGUCAUCUUCGAGUUCAAAGCUACCGAGUUGCAGAGAUCACGUUCCACCUGUGGGAUUGCAGCUUUCUUCGUCUCGAAAUUAUCUAUCGUCUUUAAACUACGACUUGAUCCAAGAAAUAUGAAUCAUCUUAUUAUCCGAAACUUAAUUUAUUCUCGUGUCAGGAACAAACCCACACGCCACGUGUUGUUUUCUAGUCCUUCGCGUACGGUCGUAUUUUUUGAGGUACAGUCUGGGUCAGUCUGUCAGACCCGGGCAGCUUCGAACUAUUAUAACUUUGUUGGAAGUCAAUAUUUUUAGGGAGAUUUCAAAAAUAUGGAAGAGUUUCAUCUACAAGAUAGUAGUGCAAUGAAAUCAAAAUUUGCAAAGAGAUUUGCGCUAUUUUGGAAUUUUCGCUGGCAUGGAAUCGAAUAUUCUUUCGGGUUUCACAGACCAAAUAUUGUACGCGUGAAAUAUGCAAUGACAAUAAAGAUUUCGUUAUUUUGGA